rnacentral:rRNA from 1 species
CCUACGGGAGGCAGCAGUGAGGAAUAUUGGUCAAUGGACGAGAGUCUGAACCAGCCAAGUAGCGUGAAGGAUGACUGCCCUAUGGGUUGUAAACUUCUUUUAUAUGGGAAUAAAACGUUCCACGUGUGGGAUUUUGUAUGUACCAUAUGAAUAAGGAUCGGCUCAGUACGUGCCAGCAGCCGCGGUAAUCUGGAGGUUCCGAGCGUUUUCCGGAUUGAUUGGGUUUAAAGGGAGCGUAGGUGGAUUGUUAAGUCAGAUGUGAAAGUUUGCGGCUCAACCGUAAAAUUGCAGUUGAAACUGGCAAUCUUGAGUACAGUAGAGGUGGGCGGAAUUCGUGGUGUAGCGGUGAAAUGCUUAGAGAUAACGAAGAACUCCGAUUGCGAAGGCAGUUCACUGGACUGCAACUGACACUGAGGCGCGAAAGUGUGGGUAUCAAACAGGAUUAGAUACCCCAGUAGUC